UACGUAGGGGGCUAGCGUUGUCCGGAUUUAUUGGGCGUAAAGAGCGUGUAGGCGGCCAGGUAGGUCCGUUGUGAAAACUCGAGGCUCAACCUCGAGACGUCGGCGGAAACCCUCUGGCUAGAGUCCGGAAGAGGAGAGUGGAAUUCCUGGUGUAGCGGUGGAAUGCGCAGAUAUCAGGAGGAACACCAAUAGCGAAGGCAGCUCGCUGGGACGUUACUGACACUGAGGCGCGAAAGCGUGGGGAGCGAACAGG
rnacentral:rRNA from 1 species